UCCCAUGUGGCUCAGUUGGUAGAGCAUGGCGCCUUCAAUGCCAGGGUUGUGGGUUCGAUUCCCAUGGUAGGCA
rnacentral:tRNA from 1 species